rnacentral:rRNA from 1 species
UACGGAGGGUGCGAGCGUUGUUCGGAAUUACUGGGCGUAAAGAGCUUGUAGGCGGCUCGUUAAGUCUGAUGUGAAAGCCCUCGGCUCAACCGGGGAAGUGCAUUGGAUACUGGUGGGCUUGAGUAUGGGAGAGGAGAGCGGAAUUCCCGGUGUAGAGGUGAAAUUCGUAGAUAUCGGGAGGAACAUCUGUGGCGAAGGCGGCUCUCUGGACCAAUACUGACGCUGAGAAGCGAAAGCGUGGGGAGCAAACAGG